rnacentral:piRNA from 1 species
UAGCACCUUAAGGAGACAGCAUGGAGA